rnacentral:rRNA from 1 species
GUAGGGUGCAAGCUUUAAUCGGAAUUACUGGGCGUAAAGCGUGCGCAGGCGGCUUUGCAAGACAGAUGUGAAAUCCCCGGGCUCAACCUGGGAACUGCAUUUGUGACUGCAUGGCUAGAGUACGGUAGAGGGGGAUGGAAUUCCGCGUGUAGCAGUGAAAUGCGUAGAUAUGCGGAGGAACACCGAUGGCGAAGGCAAUCCCCUGGACCUGUACUGACGCUCAUGCACGAAAGCGUGGGGAGCAAACAGGAUUAGAUACCCUGGUAGUCCACGCCCUAAACGAUGUCAACUGGUUGUUGGACGGCUUGCUGUUCAGUAACGAAGCUAACGCGUGAAGUUGACCGCCUGGGGAGUACGGCCGCAAGACUG